rnacentral:rRNA from 1 species
GAUGAACGCUGGCGGCGUGCCUAAUACAUGCAAGUCGAGUGAAUGGAUUAAGAGCUUGCUCUUAUGAAGUUAGCGGCGGACGGGUGAGUAACACGUGGGUAACCUGCCCAUAGACUGGGAUAACUCCGGGAAACGGGGGCUAAUACCGGAUAACAUUUUGAACCGCAUGGUUCGAAAUUGAAAGGCGGCUUCGGCUGUCACUUAUGGAGGGACUCGCGUCGCAUUAGCUAGUUGGUGAGGUAACGGCUCACCAAGGCAACGAUGCGUAGCCGACCUGAGAGGGUGAUCGGCCACACUGGGACUGAGACACGGCCCAGACUCCUACGGGAGGCAGCAGUAGGGAAUCUUCCGCAAUGGACGAAAGUCUGACGGAGCAACGCCGCGUGAGUGAUGAAGGCUUUCGGGUCGUAAAACUCUGUUGUUAGGGAAGAACAAGUGCUAGUUGAAUAAGCUGGCACCUUGACGGUACCUAACCAGAAAGCCACGGCUAACUACGUGCCAGCCGCCGCAGUAA